CUUCAUUGUACUUGUCAUCUGCUCCCUCUUAGGCCAGAUGAAGGGCACGGAUCAAGAGUGCUUCUCAGCAUCUCUGUUUCCAGAGCGACAGUUCCCUGUCCCUGAUGACCCCAUCUGCAACGGCUUAUCGCACACAGACCUUGCCUGGUCUCACGUUCAUCCGGCAGAACCUAUCAUCCCCCAAGUAUCAAACAGAAGGACGUGCAGGACAACCCGGGUCUCAAGGCACUUGCUGAGGAACAGGAGGUGGCUGGAGGUACGUGGCUGGAGCACCCUUUGGCUGGUGGGAAGAGAGGAUGAGUGAUGGAGCAGCAGGAGAAAGAAAAGGCUGCUCACUGGCAUGCCUGGUGCUGUGGGUUGAAGUGGCAAGUUCACAUUGAAGGUAGAGUACAGCAGAGGAGUCAUCAGGACCUUGAAGUAUGACCCUAUGCCUUUUUUAUUCCUGAAUCCCGCCCCAGCACAGG
ensembl:lncRNA